CCUACGGGAGGCAGCAGUGGGGAAUAUUGGGCAAUGGAGGCAACUCUUACCCAGCAACGCCGCGUGAAUGAAGAAGGUCUUCGGAUUGUAAAGUUCUUUACUAGGGGAAGAAAAAAAUGACGGUACCCAAGGAAUAAGCCCCGGCUAACUACGUGCCAGCAGCCGCGGUAAUACGGAGGGGGCAAGCGUUGUUCGGGAUGACUGGGCGUAAAGGGUGCGUAGGCGGUGUAGCAAGUUAGAAGGGAAAUACCAGGUGCCAAACUCAGGUGCUGCUCCCAAAACUGUUGUACUUGAGUGCAGGAGGGGAAAGUGGAAUUCCUAGUGUAGCGGUGGAAUGCGUAGAUAUUAGGAGGAACAUCAGUGGCGAAGGCGACUUUCUGGACUGUAACUGACGCUGAGGCACGAAAGCGUGGGGAGCAAACAGGAUUAGAUACCCUGGUAGUC
rnacentral:rRNA from 1 species